rnacentral:rRNA from 1 species
UACGGGGGGGGUAAGCGUUGUUCGGAAUUACUGGGCGUAAAGGGCUCGUAGGCGGCCAACUAAGUCAGACGUGAAAUCCCGAGGCUUAACCUCGGAACUGCGUCUGAAACUACUCGACUAGAGUACUGGAGAGGGUAACGGAAUUCACGGUGUAGCAGUGAAAUGCGUAGAUAUCGUGAGGAACACCAGAGGCGAAGGCGGUUACCUGGACAGUUACUGACGCUCAGGCACGAAAGCAUGGGGAGCAAAAGGG